rnacentral:lncRNA from 1 species
AUUAGGCCUUGUCCCCUCGCCUCGCUGACAGAGGGGCCCCCGCCCGCCAGGACUGAGCAGGGUUGGAGAGGCUGGAAGAACCCUUUUCAUGUCCUCGGGCCGGGUGGAGGAGCCGAAAGGAGAAUCUGCCUUGCACUCGGGCUUCUUUCCACCCGACCACGGAGCAGUUUUUUCCUCCCAGUAGCAUCUUAGUGGGGAGAGUUUCAUAAACCCUUUGGCCUGACGCAGCUUUGGAACCUUCCACCCUGUUCUUCCUUGCGUCUGUUUGGCUGGGUUGCCCCUGCCCCUUCCCACGGAGGCGUGAUCGUAUGGAACCCGAAUGCUGACUUCGGGCCUGCGCUGACGGGCCUGUCUGUGUCAUAAUAGACCGCGGCCCCUAAACAUGGUCUUCCUCUUCCUCCUCCUGAAUUGCACUGCUUUCAACGACGAGAUGUCAUUUUUCACUACAAGAUCCAUGUUCUACCUGUCCAACCCACGCACCGCUGACUGGAAUUUGUUGGUUUUGCCUUAGUCUUCAAGAAAGAGCCUGUGCUGGGCUAAGGGGCUGCUGAGAUACGAUGUUCCUUGUUCCGAAGCUUGAACCCUACAAUCAAAUGCCAGGCUGGAUUCCCAAACAAGUGUAUCCGAUGACAGCUUAUUACAGAAGGCUCUGAACUUUUAAGAAUUCUUUAGUAGGAAACAAACAAAGCGCAAAGAUCUCUUCCUAAUUUCCUGUGACUUGAAAUAUAUUUUUAUCC